rnacentral:rRNA from 1 species
GAUGAACGCUGGCGGCGUGCCUAACACAUGCAAGUCGAGCGGCAGCGAGGGGUGCUUGCACCCUGUCGGCGAGCGGCGGACGGCUGAGUAACGCGUGGGAACGUGCCCCAAAGUGAGGAAUAACUGCCCGAAAGGGUAGCUAAUACCGCAUAUUAUCUUCGGAUCAAAGGAUUUAUCCGCUUUGGGAGCGGCUCGCGUCGGAUUAGGUAGUUGGUGAGGUAAUGGCUCACCAAGCCGACGAUCCGUAGCUGGUCUGAGAGGAUGACCAGCCAGACUGGAACUGAGACUCGGUCCAGACUCCUACGGGAGGCAGCAGUGAGGAAUCUUCCACAAUGGGCGAAAGCCUGAUGGAGCAACGCCGCGUGCAGGACGAAGGCCUUCGGGUUGUAAACUGCUUUUAUAAGUGAGGAAUAUGACGGCAACUUAUGAAUAAGGAUCGGCUAACUACGUG